rnacentral:rRNA from 1 species
CAUCGCCACGGGAAUACGUAGGUGGCAAGCGUUGUCCGGAAUUAUUGGGCGUAAAGGGCUCGCAGGCGGUUUCUUAAGUCUGAUGUGAAAGCCCCCGGCUCAACCGGGGAGGGUCAUUGGAAACUGGGAAACUUGGGUGCAGAAGAGGAGAGUGGAAUUCCACGUGUAGCGGUGAAAUGCGUAGAGAUGUGGAGGAACACCAGUGGCGAAGGCGACUCUCUGGUCUGUAACUGACGCUGAGGAGCGAAAGCGUGGGGAGCGAACAGGAUUAGAUACCCCAGUAGUCCCUGUCUCUUAUACA